GAUGAAGAACGUAGCGAAAUGCGAUAAGUAAUGUGAAUUGCAGAAUUCAGUGAAUCAUCGAAUCUUUGAACGCACCUUGCGCUCUUUGGUAUUCCGAAGAGCAUGCCUGUUUGAGUGUCAUGAAAAUAUCAACCUUGACUUGGGUUUUGUGCCCUAGUCUCGGCUUGGAAUUGGGUGCUUGCCGCUUUUACGAGCGGCUCACCUUAAAUGUAUUAGCUGGAUCUGUCUUUGAGACUUGGUUUGACUUGGCGUAAUAAGUAUUUCGCUAAGGACAUUCUUCGGAGUGGCCUCGUUUCUAGGACGCUUGUCCGCUUUCCAAUACAAGUUCCACCUCGUGGACAUGACUUUUUAUUAUCUGGCCUCAAAUCAGGUAGGACUACCCGCUGAACUUAAGCAUAUCAAUAAGCGGAGGA
rnacentral:misc_RNA from 1 species